UUUUCUGCUAGAAUUUCAAAAUUUCAAAAUUAAGGCAUCAUUCAAUUUACUUAGGACGAAUGUUUGGAAAAAAAAAUCCAAUAUCUAAUGCAUUUUUUUAAUAUUAGCAGAAGAUUACUAUGCACCAAAGAUUUACUAAAUACCCUUCUUUUUAUCCUCCUUUUUUUUUCUCCUACGAUUUGGAAUAAGGCCAUUUAUAGCGUACAGAUGUAGAGAUACAGAUAUUCUCAUUGAUUGAGCGGCAUGUUGACACCUGGUACUGUGCUAGUUGGGGCUUGACAGAAGUUGGCAGAGCUUGUUGCGGUAUGUGUCAGGGCUGGCUUGGGAUGGAGUCGGAGCUUAGUUGACGUGAUCAAUCGCCAAAUCUCCUGGUGGGCGUUGCAUUGCCUGUGUAUGGCCGUUCACGCUUUCGCUGCCGGCGCGAUCCGUAAUUGCGGAUGUUCUGGUUUGGUCCUGUACCAGGUUCUUGGUUGUCUCGAUUGCUCCUUUCUUCAAGCUUGGCGAAGGGGAGGGGAUCAAUUGUUUUGAUAUGUUUUCGAUUACCUUCGCCGCGUGCCACGGAAUGGAAGGGGGCUCGAUUUGCCGUCCCGGGGCGCUAAGGGGUUGAAGUUUUUGAAACAGACGGUAAUGUUUUGCUGACAUCUUGAAUCAAGCUUUUGACUGAGACCCACGAUUUCUUUCCUGCAGGUAUGAAUUUCAUUGUUUUUGCUCAACUCUUCCUUCCAUAUUUAGUUGCUUCCACAAAUUAAACUCUGAGGAUUGUAAUGUAAAUCUAGAAACAAAGAUAAUAUCGGCUUUGGAGUGAAUAUUUGGUUACCUUUGUAGAGUUCUGAAUUUUUUUAUGAAUGGUUCUCAUGUACCAGAAAUAACACAAAUAGUUGAAUCAACUUCAAGGAAAAAAUGUUUCAUGGUUAUAGGGAUCAAUAUAGCUUUUAGUAGCAGAAAGCGAAGAGAUUCUUUUCGUGCUAACAAGAUUAAUGCUAGUCGUAUUAAUCAAGGUUGCAAGAACUUUUUUCAAUGGCUGAAUUAACCACGGAAAUGGAAGACCCCUUCUACUAAUUUUUCAGUGUCUUUGAUCUUCCAAACAUCGCAGUGAUAGUAGGUAGUUAUAGAGUGUUAUGACAAUGGCGCAAACUGAUGAGUAAGACAAAAAUGGGAGUAUGAAAAACAUGAAGGUACCCUUUUAUGGAUUUGGCAAGAUUGUUAGAACGACAAUGAAAUUAGAAUUAAAAAGAACUUUAUUGUGAUAGGAAAGAGUGUAUGCCUUGCAUUGUAUUAUUGUUGUAUUCAUCGUCUAUCUUUUCUUUUUUAAUUUUUUUUUUGAAGACAAUAAUAAAUAAAAUAGAGGUUGUAGAAGGAAAUACUUGAUUAAUCCCGAAACUGUAGGCUCCUACAAAUCUACAGCGUAUGUAAAUUCCUGUAUUGAUCGGCAAUUUUCUGAAAGAUCGAGUGAAAACUACCUAUGAUUAGCCAACUAAGCAUAUUUAGUUUAACAUCGAAGAAGUGGCGUUUAUUUUUAAUUUUUUAUCCAAAUUCAACAUUUUUUUUAUUUGCCCUAUCAAAUAUAUAUAAUUUGUCGU